CCUACGGGAGGCAGCAGUAAAGAAUCUUCCGCAAUGGGCGAAAGCCUGACGGAGCGACGCCGCGUGGUGGAUGAAGUCCCUAGGGACGUAAACACCUUUUAUCGGGGAGAAAGUUAUUGAUAGUACCCGAGGAAUAAGGGUUGCUAACUCGUG
rnacentral:rRNA from 1 species